rnacentral:rRNA from 1 species
GAUGAACGCUAGCUACAGGCUUAACACAUGCAAGUCGAGCGGCCGCGGCAUCGUAAGCUUGCUUUCGGUAGCCGGCGAGCGGCGCCCGGGCGUUUAACUCGUAACGACCCUGCCUCAUACUCGGGAAUAGCCUAGCGGAACUAUUAUUAAUGCCCGGUGCUUUCAGAGUUCCGCCUGCGGCUUUGAACGAAGAUUUUUCGGUAUUGGAUGGCGAUGCGUCCCAUUAGCUUGUUGUCGGGGUAACGGCUCACCAAGGCAUCGACGGGUAGGGGUUCUGAGAGGAAGGUCGCGCACAUGGGAACUGAGACACGGACAAAACGACUGCGGGAGGCAGCAGUGAGGAAUAUGGGGCAGUGGUCGGAAGUCUGAAACAGCCAAGUAGCGUGCAGGAAGACGGCGCUGCGGGAGGUAAGCUGCUUUUAGGUGUGAAUAGAACGGGGCUCGUGGGAGCUCAUGCAGGUACCAUCAGAAAAAGCACCGGCUAAUUCCGUG